rnacentral:rRNA from 1 species
AUUAAACGCUGGCGGCAUGCCUUACACAUGCAAGUCGAACGGCAGCACGGGGGCAACCCUGGUGGCGAGUGGCGGACGGGUGAGUAAAGCAUCGGAACGUAUCCUGGAGUGGGGGAUAACGUAGCGAAAGUUACGCUAAUACCGCAUAUUCUGUGAGCAGGAAAGCAGGGGAUCACAAGACCUUGCGCUCUGGGAGCGGCCGAUGUCGGAUUAGCUAGUUGGUGGGGUAAAGGCCUACCAAGGCGACGAUCCGUAGCGGGUCUGAGAGGAUGAUCCGCCACACUGGGACUGAGACACGGCCCAGACUCCUACGGGAGGCAGCAGUGGGGAAUUUUGGACAAUGGGCGCAAGCCUGAUCCAGCCAUGCCGCGUGAGUGAA